GGAAGUGGUUGGUGGCUGGUGCUGCCCCCGGACUUCAAAUCCGGUGAGCCCCCCAAAAGGGGGCUGGUGGGUUCGAUUCCCACCCACUUCCGCCA
rnacentral:tRNA from 1 species